CCCCAGCCUUCCAAUCUCUGCCCUGCCAAGCCCCACCCCCCUGCUAAUCCCCCCACCUCCUAAGGCCUCAAUCACUUUCCUGCCAAGCCCCUCACCCCUCCUGUCCCCUGACCCCACUGAUCACUUUCCUACCCACCCCCAACUCCCCAUCGCUUUCCUGCUUAGCCCCACCCGCUGCCUGCACUCCCAACCCCUCUGAUCCCUGCCCCCCCCCCAGCAUCCCCAUAGUUUAAAAAACAGACAAACAACCAACCCAGCACUUACCAGCAGUCUGGCUGCUGUGUGUCUCAGCGGGGCCCUGCCUGCACAGCAUGGGGCAAAUGGGCAGCCCCAGCAGCCCCAGCCUGGGCCCUCCUGCCCCCCACUGCCCUGUACUGCCCAGGGGACUCUGCCAGGGGGCCCCGGAGCCCCCUCACCUCUGCUUCUAGGACACAUUUACGCCUCAGGAGUUCAGAUAACAUCCUGUCCUUGGAACCACGCUGCAAGCAUGGAGAAAGGAUGCAUGAGAGAGAGGAUGUCAGAGAAAUGUUGACAACUGGAGACUUUUUCCCUGUGACAUAACUCUACUGAACCUAAACAGCUCCAAGUGCAAUUUAAGCUCCCUUCUAAGAUUUCUGUGUGUGCAAGUCAGACAUUUCUUAGACCUUAUUACAGAAAUAUCCACAAAUGGGGAUGAAUUUCUUGAAGGCAGCACAUAGCAGCCUAAGCUUGGAGGCGUAAUGUAAAUUUUCCAAGACACAUAGCGCCUAUUCCCGGGAGCAUACUUGCAAGGGAACACCUGAGUAAUACUCCCUUGAUGCAGUGAGAGACGCACCUAAGACCCUCAAGAUAAGGAUGACAAGAGUGAACCAACUGCCCUAGGUCUCAUUUACAUCCGAGAUGGAACCAGAUGACCAUUCAUUUACAUGAGAGAUGGAGAACAGAAAGCCUGAAGCAGAGACUGCAGUGAAUUCUGGGACCAGAGAAUCAGGGGAGCACUGCAUGAUCGGGAACCUGUGCUUCAAAUGUUAAUCAACCCAUGUUCACACACACCCAGCUCAGCAUUUAUCAAACCAGUUCUAAUCUGGAUUUACUAAGGACUUUUCCCCCCCCAGACACACACACACAGCUCUAAGUUUAAUAGGCAUCUCGGGCCGUACAUUCCCCGGUCCCACUAUGGGAGGCCUAUGUAAACUUGAUUGACUAAAACAUGGUUGCCAGGUUAGGGAAUGCUGAGGCAAGAGACCGAGUCAGAGGGGGUAUGGGCAACAUUGGAACAAUGGUUAAGGGUUCAUCACAGCAUCCAGCCUGCUGGAGCCCUAAUCACAGGUGUUGUCAUACUUUUCCCGAGAUGACUGGUGGGAGUCCUCUCCACAAAAGGUUAUGAGCACACCAAUAAUUGUCUUAAGUCUGUUAAAAGACUAUAGUAAAAUCUGGAAAAGUCAUGCUAAGCUGAGGCUUGUGCACAACAAGUAAAAAUCCAAAACCCUGAUGCUGCAAGCUAUCUAUUGUUCCUGAAGAAACCAUGAGAUAUCCCAUCAGUAUAUCUGCCAUCCAUAGGAAUCUCAAGCUGGCUCCCAAGUAUUUGGGUUACUCCCUAAUCUUAAGUGUUUCCUGAUUAUCAAUCAGUUUCUUGAGAUGUUCCAAACCAGAUAACCCCUUGUCAAUAGAAAAGACAAUGAUUUACACUACUGAGGGUGCUUCGAAGCAGCUGAACUGAGGGUAUAAAAAUCUGUAAAAAGUGUGUGUGCUUCAAGAAGAAGAAGAAGAAGAAGGAAAGAAGGAGAGGAAAAGGAAAGAAGAAGAAAACUCCUGUGCUGACAACAUCCCCUGUCGUUCUUGGGACGCUGGAAGAACAGAUCGUCUCUCUCUUCAAGGAUUGUGCUACAGACUGUGCCUGUCAGCUUUGCAGCCUGAGUACCAUGGACUAGGUGAGAUCCCAGCACUCGCUCACUCUCUCUCUUCUCUCUAGGCAUAAAAUUCUGAACCUGAACUGUAUUAGUUAAGCUUGAGCUAAGUUUCCCCAAAUACUUAGUGAAACCAGGGUAGUAUUGUCAUUGUUUGUGUUUGUUUUUCUUUUGCAUGUCUAUUACUACUAGUACCAUUAUAUAUUUCAUAUGCUUAGCAAUAAAUAACUUUUGUAGUCAAACUGGUAGUAAUUGGGUAUAUUUUUCCUUCUCUGCUUCUCUUUCCUCCCGUGCUCUGCAGCAAUGCUUCUUUUACAUAUGCUAAAGAUCCCUGUGAAGCCCAAAUUAUUGUGGGGUUUGCUCAUCAAGAGGCCAAAGAUUGGGACGUGUUGAGUUUGAAACACAUAAGGGGAUCAGCUUGUACAGGCUGAUUGACCCAGUUUGACUCAGAUGUGCCCUUAUGAACUGAGUGCUGGCCCAUGAGUGUGUCAGCUGGACACCCAGCCAGAUUCAGAGGGAUUCUGUUUACCUGUGUGCUUGUGUCUGACUGCAUUUUAUUGUUGCUCUUAUGAACUGAUUCUUGGCAUAUGAGGGUGUCAGCCUGUCCAUACUGAUCAGCCCGGCCAGGUCAGGUGUGUCACGUUAAUUUGUGUGUGUUUGUGUGUAUGACUGAUUUGGUGGCUGGAGGAACCCAGUCCCAUUGAGAUUGAGUCCUGCAAGAUAGCUCCACUGGGGGUGAGAGCUUGCAGAAGGGAGAAAUACAGCUCCGUAUAGUAACACAAGCAGCACGUUGACAGAAUCACCAACACCCUAGAAACUAUCCCUAAUAAAUGAGCACACCCCAAAGUAAUGGGCAAAUUUGGUAACAGCUGCUUUAGGUAGCACUAUCCUUCCGUCCGGCAAUCGCCAUAUUCUAUUUUUUUUAACUAUUUUAUUUCACGAAAGAUUAGGUACAGAAAGUAAAAAAACUAUUAAUCUCACUAAAGAGAAACUAUUCCAGGACAUUCGGAACUUCACACCGUGACAAACACUUUCGCAGUAAUACACAUCAUGUCUAACAUUCCAUAUAGCUCUUGAGAAACGAGCAGUUCUACUCUUCCCUGUCUCAUAGUACACGUGCAAAAACUUUCGGCAUUUCACUCCGAGAAAAAACAAAAGCAGCCUGUUGAGGGCCCAGGGCACGGCACAAGCUGGAAGCCACAGUCCGCUACUGCGCUUAACUGCUCAGGCAGUGGUUCAGCUUCAAGUACUUCAAAUGGAGUUACUACUGCAUAACUCAUUUUUCUAACUCCGUUGACUAUUUUUGAAGAGCUAUUUACAUAAAAAAUUAAGUCAGGGUUAUCUAAGGGUAAGUCACUGAGAUCUGCCCUGGGUUUGUUUGUAAAUAUUGCAACUUGAAGGCAAUCAUGAGAGUUUGGUUCCCCAUCGCUGGGUAGAGGUAAUAGAGUAGCCGGAUUCAGGGUAUUGCAUCUCUCUCUCACUAGGUUUGUGGUCAUUAAAAGUGUGGUUUCAUACUUGUUCAUUCUCUGAUGAGAAAAAUGUUCAGUAUUUUUCUGGAGGAGGAGGAGGGCUACUGCGUGUGGAGCCUUUAGGAUAAGGGGGUACCCGAGGACUAAUUCCUGGGCUUUCUCGACUAUUGUUGCAGCUGCUGCCACUGCGCGAAGGCAGCCUACUCCCCCCUUUGCCACUGGAUCUAAUUGUGCAGAGAAGUAAGCUACCGGGCGUUGGGUGGUGUCUAAGGGUUGAGUAAGUACCCCAGAGGCUACUCUUAGUUGCUCAUGGACAAAGAGCGUGAAAGGUUUUCAAUAAUCUGGUAGCCCUAGAGCAGGGGCAGAAGUUAAAGUGGAUUUUAUAUUACUGAAGCUGCAGGCAGCUUCAUGAUCUCAAAAGACUGGUUCUUCUGCAACUUUUGUGGUAAGCUGCACAAGAGGCUUGGUUACUAUUCUUAAGUAUUUAACAGUGGAUUUACAGAACUGAAGCUUGCUUGGUGACACCUUGUGGCCUUUGGCAGCUAGUGCAGUGCUUAACGUACACUCUCUUUUUCAGUGUUCUCCCUGUUUACAGUAAUGGCCCAUACGGUUGGUGGGUAUGGUCCGGUGGCCUAGGCACAAAGGGCCUCGGGCCAUGGGGCAGAUUGGUUCUAUAGGGAUUUGGCAUCUGAAUUACCGCUGCCAACAUGUGAAUGUUGGACUGGUCUUCCUUUUGUUUUUCUUUCUUCUUUUUUUCUUCCCUUCCAUUAAAAGUUUUAGUAGCAAUGGCUAAGAUUUCUGCCAUGGAUUUACCCUCAACACCCUCAGUGUUAUGUUGGAGCUUCUUUCUAAUAUCUUCGCUAGCCUGACUUAUGAAUACAAGUCUUAACACAGGCAAAGUGGCAGGUGUCUCAGGGUCCAUGUUUCCAUACUGGCGUAUAGCUUUACAGAGUCUUUCAAAGUAGUCUGAAGGGUGUUCUUCUGGACCCUGAACAGUAGCUGUCACUUUGGACCAGUUUGUAGUUUUAUCUCCUGCCUUUUUUAGUUCUUCUUAGCAUACAUAUUGCAUUCUGUCCCUCUUCCUUUCUAUAAUUCUAAUUUGGAUCUUGCCUAGGUACACCAUUAGGCAUGGAGUGGUUUUGAUGCUGCUGAUCGGCUAGAAAUUGGUCAGUGUGGCGUAGUACUUGGGUCUUCUCAUCUGAAGUUAAGAGGCUUUCGAGAAGCUGCAUGACAUCUGACCAGGAGGGGUUAUGAGUCAUGAAAAUGGUUUUGAAGCGCCUUAGAACUACUUCAGGAUCAUUUCUGAGCCUGGGGGUGUUUUCUUGCCAGUUUAAGAGGUCGGUGAUGGAGAACGGAGCAUGUGUCCAGUGACUGAUAACUUCUCUACUCUUGCCAGAAGGAGCCAGAAGGCUAGGGGCAGGUACUCGUUGUCGGGUACGAUUAGCUAUGGGAGUCGGAUCAGUGUUCGGGGAGGUUGAGUCUGGAGAGGGAUGCCUUGAUCCAUCUACAGGCUCAGGACUUGGGCGGUCGCCGGGAGGCAAUCGGGGUGAUGCCUCCCCACGAUUUCCCGAGUCCCCUGCCAGCAUGGGAAUGAACGGAUCAGGUUGGGCAUGGGUUUAUAAUCAUCAUCUGAAUAUAAAGGUGGUGCGGAAGGUUUUGGACAUUGAAGGGGAGCUAACAAAUUCGGGAAAGGUACAGGGGUCAGGGUGGCUAAAAGCUUUGAUCGCUUACUAGCAACAUUGUCUCAUAAAUACCAAUAAUUCAUUAGGCCAAGGUGGAGGUCCUUCAAGAUCUUUCGUAAGGCAGCCAGGCGAUUUGGGUCAAAUGGUCCAUUUUCUGGCCAUUGUCUUCUCAAAUCUAACUGAGACGUAUAAGACGUCUAAUUAAUUAAACAGAGUUCUGCCAUACAAGACUUGGACAGUUCUGCCCGUACCUCCAAAUGUUUCCAAUUCCUGAUCAUAUAAUCAAGGGGUGAAUAUCCUAGGCCAGAACCCAUGAUUAUUUCCAAGUAUAAGCAGCCUUAUUCCCUAAGUUCUACCUGCCUAGAAGCUGUUUCAUCCACGUACAACAACCGGUGUUCUCAGACCCCGCUGGCUUUCUCCGUGAGGAGGGGCGUCUUGAGUCCGAGACCCUAGUCAUUGACCAUUAUAACAGCAUUUCUACCUUAUAUCCGUGUCUUUCGCCUUUCGGCCAGGCUGCCGCUCUAACAGCUUUUAAAGCGGCAGACGGAUACCCUCAAAGACUGCUUCCAGAGACCUCUAGAGGUUAAACCAGAAACCCAGAAAGUAGACAGAAACCAAAAACAUACCUGACCUGAGGUACUCGCUGGUACUGUUCCUUUACCCGAUUUGAGGAUCCCACCUUAUUGGUCCCGAGGGGACCGUCCACCUCCCGAGACUGACACAAAUAGAUGAACUCACCUGGUGUGCACUGGGGUGUCAGGGGGUGGAGGUCUCCAAAGUCUUCAAGCUAGAUGGGUCCCAUCUGGGUCGCCAAAUUGUCGUGGGGGAAAACUCCCUGGAAUUCGUUGUCUAGCUGCAUAGGAACCAGGCAACACGGGUAAAGGCUUUAUUGCAGUAUAUUUGCUCGAGCAAUGACCAUAAGCCUGCAAAGAGGCAAAAUGGCCCCCCCCCCCCAAAGGGUGGGGCGUUCUUUUAUACUUUUUACAAUAAGGCAAGACUACAGGGUUAACAAAAGCAAUACUUGGGCAGUGCUUCACAAAUCCUCAUAACAGCAUAUUUCUGUUAAGCUGAACUAGCACUUUUCUAAAAGCUGAAGAAGUUAAGUAACAGUAACAUUAUGAUACCUUAGCAAAAACUUGCACAGUAGUAGAUAUUUCUUAAGGACACGAUCAUUGUACUUAGAACAAUGGCUUCUUUGUGUUAUCUUGUUCCUUGCUGUAUCUGGUUUACAGCACACAGACUUAUACAAAUUCACUUGCUGCAUUUUACUCAGAAAAUGGUUAACACAGUUAAAAUAAUUACUUAACAUAAGCUAAUGGCUGGCUUAGCUAUUAUUCUGCUUUGUGGUCAGCAGCAUUGCUAGGCCACAGGUCAUGCCUUAUAUUCAGCUGCAAAUCUAAUACUUCUCAAUAAUCUAAAUUAUUGCUAACCUAACAGUAUGCUAUCAGAAAACUAUUUUAUUUCAGGGUAAUAACAAACUUGCCCACCACACCAAGAACUCAGUCCAUUAGCUAUUCUGAAUUAAUUCUUCAGGAGUACAUGACAGAAGUAAGUACCCCCUCUUCCUCUCUCACAUAAACACACAUACACACACAUAGGCUGUGUGCAUAUAUUCUGAACACACCAUUGCUUUUUACUGACUAGUAUAAGAAAUGUACAGAUCAGCCAAAAAUAAAACCUUCACAGAUUUCCCUGCUACUUACAAGCAUUUCUUACUCUGGAAUCAGGUCCCAUGGUGUGAUCCAGUAUCCUUCUAUGUAGCUCUUGGCUUGUUUGCUUUGACCGUGGGAGGUUUCUGCACCUCCUUCUCUGAAAAGCUGCUCACUACUUCCUUUUGCCUGUCCCAAUUGUUCCAUAUAUUUUUGUGAUCCCUUCCCUUCCUUUGUGACCUGUGUCCCUUUGUCUUGUUUGGGGAAUUUUCACUUCAUAGAAUCAUAGAAAAUUAGGGUUGGAAAGAACCCCAGGAUGUCAUCUAGUCCAACCUCCAGCUACCAAAGCAGGAACAUCACCAACUAAAUCAUCCCAGCCAAGGCGUUGUUUAGCCAGGUCUUAAAAACUUCUAAGGAUGGAGAGUCCACAGCCUCCUUGUGUAGCCUGUACCAGUGCCUUACUACCCUCCCAGUAAAAAAGUUUUUUUGUACUAUCUGUUUAAACUUCCCAGAAAUUUGCCCCCAACACUCUCCAAAGACUUCCUGUAUUGCCUGUGUACUGUGGUAUUGGCCUCCCAGCAGAUGUCAGGGUGAUUGAAGUCCCCCAUGAGAACCAGGGCCUGUAAUCUGGAAACUUCUGUUAGCUGUCUGAAGAAAGCUUCAUCCACCUCAUCCUCUCAGUCUGGUAGUCUAUAGCAUAUAUCCACCAUAAUAUCACCCUUGAUGUUCCCCCUCUAACCCUAACCCAGCGAUUUUCAACAGGCCUAUCACCAGUUUCAUAUUGUACCUCUGAGUAAUCAUGCAGCAAUUUUACAUAAAGAGAAACUUCUCCUCUUCUCCGCUGCCUGCCUUUCCUGAACAGUUUAUACCUGUUUAGUUCUACUCAUUUUUGCCUGACUGUCUUUGUUGAAUGUGGCAAUCACUACAAUGUGUAUUUUAGAUCACCUCUUAUUUCUAAGAAACAGUGAUGCCAUUAUUUCAUACUUGUAUAUUUUAUGUGUGCCUAUACCACAAAUCCCAGCUCUAUGGCCUGUGCCGUAACAUGAUGAUUUCUACUGCCAAGCAGCAUGAUUAUAAAAAUGGUGUCUUAAUUAACAGUUCCACUUCACAGUAAAGAAAAGCCUUCAUACAUAAUGAUAUUAUAAUAUCAACUAAAAUUCAUAAAUCACACACAGAUUUCCCCAAAUUAUCAGAUCUUUCCCCUUAUUUUAAGGUUUCUGAACUCAUAGCAAGCAUCCCUGAGACAUCUCAGAAGUUUUCCAGAAGAACUAGGGAGAACCUUGUUUGAAAAACACUUGCCCACCUGCCUACUUUUGGGAGUAUCAUGAGAGAAGUUUCAAGCUGUCCUUAUGCACAAGCCCAAUUUAACAAACCAUUAAAAUGAAUGGGGCAGUUCACAGCUCUCAGAGCUGACACCUGCUGUUUGGAGGUUAGAACUACAACACUAGAUCAGUUUGUAUUUUCAGAGUUUUCUUCGCAUUAAUAAAGUACAGAGUUCUGCAGCUAUACUUUUUAGCCAUGCAAAUUUCAUUGUUCAUGAAGGAAAAUGGCAACCUUAACAGAGGAAUGUUCCAAUUCAUAAGCAUGCCAUCUAGCAGUGUUUUGUAAUUUCUAUAAAUAUUUCAGAGGGAGAAAGUGUCCCUUCAGUUGUCAGCCUUUAGGGGCAACUCAGAUGGCUUUCUACAGGAGGGUGGAAGAAGUGAGCUGGGUGUGGCAGAUCCACUGGUAUUCUAAUGCAGUGAUUCUCAACCAUUUUUAUACUAGGACCCAUUUGUAAACAUCGAUGGCCAGUCCUGGCCCAGUGCCCCUCACUCCUGACCCACUGCCCCCCAUCCCCAGGCUGCAGCCCCUCAGUGUGGAGGGCAGGGGGUGGGUAUAUGGGGCAGGGAGCCACGUGUGUGGUGCAGGGGGGGCACAAAGCAACCUAUUACAAUCUGGAACUGGAAGGGAAAAGCCACAGGUUCCCACGCUUUUCUCCUUUAAAGGAGAAUCCAUUUUAAAAGUUUGUUUGCAACCCUUUCAAAUAUUCUUGCAACCCACUUUCAGGGGUUUGUGAUGCACAGAUUGAGAAAUGCUGUUCUAAUGCAUGGGCUGAUACCCCUGACAGUCAAUCUUGGCCUGUUUUUUCACUCUGGUGUCCUGGUGGCCUCCCUGGUCACCCUCACCUAUCACACCUUGGUCUUGUGUAGUAAUUUGGGAGGAGUCAGCCCUCAGUUCUGCCAAAGUGACAGUUCAGGUGCUUUUCUCAACACUUCUCAUCACUGAGCUUUUGAAAGUCUGGCCCAAUCAGUAUUAUUUCUUGUGAACCCCACAGUGGGUGCAUCUAUACAAGAUGCUUAACUGCGCAGUAACAUAAUUAACUGUGCAGUAAACACACAUGUCUACAUGUGCACACUCUUACUGCAUAGUAAAAACCCCUAAUCAUGAGUAAAUUUGAUACACUUAAAUGCAGGUAUCAAAUUUACUCAUGAUUAGUUACUGUGCAGUAAUGGUCGUGUAAACAUGACCUAGGAGCAAAUUUGUUCCCAGGUCAGCCCUGCCACUAGUGGGCCAACCUGAGGCUAGCACCAGGGCUCCAGGCUGGGCUGCUUCUAUGGCAGCCCUUGCCUCAGGCCUUUAAAAUCCUGCAGGCAUUUUAAGUCCUGGGACACACCAGAAGGGAAGCUGAGGGCACUCCAAGCCCCUGUGUCCCCCUGGGCAGGCCACAGGCCAGCUGUUCCAACCUGUCUGAACCCCAGUGCCGCUGCCUGGCACCGCAGUGCCACGUGCCUGCCAGGCCUGCACCAUCCAGGCCUGCCAGCUGCUCCAGGCUGCUGCAGCCUGUUGCAGGCACCAGCCAGGCCUGCCAGCCCCCAGUCCAGCUGUAGGCAGCUUCUGGCUGCUGGGGCCAGCUCCAUCUUCCCGCAGCCCAAACCCAACAGCCUGUCCUGAGCCUGCAGGUGCUUCAGGGCAUUGUCUCUACCAUGCAUCUGCCAGUCCCACACUGGGCCCCUGUGCUGGGUACUGCUGGCAGAUGCCCAGACCCAGCAGCACAGGGAGAGCUGUGUGGAGGCCCAGAGAGCCAGCACAGGACCCACAAUGGCUUCAUUAUCACCAACACCCAUGAUUACGUCCAUGAUCACCACCUGGAGCCCCAACUGGUUGCAGGAGGAGACAAGCAACCUCAUGGUGCUUUGGGGUGAAGUGAAGGUGCAGCACCAGUUUGAGUGGGGUAGGUACUCCGAUGCCCACAUCAUUGAGGGGCUGUCAGCCCAGAUGCGGGAGCAUGGUCAAAAUGGGUCAGCAUGGCAGUGCUGCAUAAAGGACAGGGCCUUGUGGGCACAGUAGGUGGCCAUCACCAACCACAAUCAUCGGAUGGGGACUGCUUGUAAAUCUAUGCCCUUUAUGCAGCAACUGAAGGAUAUCCUUAUGCUCCAGGAUACAGGCUGCAGCUGUGCUGUCUACAGAAGCAUGGGUGGCCUGCCUAAGCCCCUGCCCUGGCCUGGCAUCUGCAUUGACACAUCACAGGGAGAGGCCCCCUCGGACAUCCAGCAGCCCGUUCCACCGAGCUCCCAAGCUGCACACUCCACCAGCAACUUGGGGAGCCUAAGCCAGCACCUGCCAUCUCAGUUCUGCAGCCAUAGCUCCAGCCCCCACCAUCAGGAAUGGCUGGCCAUGACACUGCCAGCUGCCAGCAGCACCAACUCCUCCCCAGGGGGGCCCCCAGCUGGGUGCCUGCCUACUGUGCCCUGCCAUCUGAGGACACCCCCUGGAGCCACAUCCUAGUGCCAACAGCCGUGACUGCAUGGAGCCACCAACCACGCCAGCCCCAUGGUAAGCCCCACACUGGGAAGAGGGCCAUCUCCAGCCCAGGCCCUGACCCUGCCCCCAGCUCCUGCCCCCCACUCCCUGCCUGGCCCGCUUCCACUCCUUUGGCCCUGGAUACCCUCCCACAGCAUGCAGAGAGAUGGGAGACAGUGCAAGACUUUACUGAGCAGCCCGUGUCCCAACAGCUAUGUGACCACAGGCCUCUCACAUGCCAGGGAACAUGUUGAUGCUGGCAGUGAUGUCCUUCUUGACUGCAGGGGUCAGGGAUGUGUAGCUCAGCCACAGGUAGCCCUCCAGGCAGUGGCAGAAGUUGCAGGGCAGCCUGGGCUUGUCACCCAAGCCAUUGAAGCUCAGGGUCCUGUGCCAGGUGCACAGGUGCACUUGAGGCACCAUGGCCAUCAACAGCAGUAGGGUGUAGUGGGUUGGGAAGCCCUUGGUCUGUACAAAUAGCUCCUCGUGCACCACCUGGGGCAUGCACAGCAGAGGAUCACUCAGGGCACAGUGGCAACACAAGGGGGGCAGGCACCAGGGCACCUCCCCAGACAAGACCCCUGUGAGGAGGGUGGGAGCAUGGACAGCUCCUCAUCCCAGUUGUCCAGGAGCCCCAUGCCCUGUGGACUGGGCAGCAGCACAGCAGAGCUGUUGGCCUGCAUGAGGAGGAGAGGGCAAGUGGGAUCUGGAGUUGCAACAGCAGGUGCUGGCAGAAGCCUGGCCUGUCCUGGCCUAGGAACAGGGUAGGGAAGGCAGGCUGCCUGAAGCCAGCUCCCAGCAGCCCACCAGCCCCAGGGAAGUGAAUGGGGCUCAGGGGCUUGGCCAGUGCCUGUCUGGGCUCGUGUCUGCUGGGUCAACUUAGCAUGGUCCCUGGGUGCCCACACAUGCCCAACUCCUGAUCUGAGGCAGGGCAGUGCAUGGCCCCUAGUACAGAGCAUCUUAUCUCUGAAAUGUAGCAAACUCACACAAACAGCUUGUUUCUCAUGGCUUGACAGGGCCUGCAGCUGCAUACAGGGAAGAGGUUGCACUUGACAGCCAGCAUGCAGCCUCAGUGUCACUGCCACCCACAGCCAAGGCCUUGUGGAUGUGACAGCUCUUCCAGAGCAGGACCCUGGACAGGACCCUCCUCCUGGACCACCUGGUCAUGGCAUGAGAGGACCAGCUGGUGGAUGGUCAGGCCUGGCAAGCAGAGGUCAUGGCCCACCAGGAUGGGUAGCAGACAGAGGACAUCACCUUCUAGGGUACACUGGACCAGCACAAGGUGGUGCGGGACUGGUGUGAAGGGGUGCGGGACCAAGGAGAUAGGGAGUUCUGGGUGCUGCUCAUGAGCAGAUAGAGGUGCUGUGGAAACAGAAUACCAUCUUGGCCCAGGCAGUGCAGGCCAUGGAUGAUGAGCACCGAGUGCUGUACACUAUUCUGGUCCUGGCAGUUGUCUUCAUGCUGUCUACUGCCCAGACCUGGUGGGACUCCACCCAUGACUGGGCCACAGGUGUAGACAGCUAUAACCUGUACAGGAGGGAUUGAGUGGACAAAAGGGGCGGAGGUGUAGCUCUCCAUGUCAAGGAAAGCUAUGCAUCCCUGCAAGCUGACAUUGGCACCCACGGUGGACUUGAGACCCUCUGGGUUAAAAUCCGUGGGGAACAUGACACAGGGGAUACUAUGGUGGGAGUCUACUACAGACCCCCUACCCAGGGUCAAGACCUUGACCAGGAGUUUGCCAGGGAAUUGGCUGAGGCCUCGUGCUCCCAGUGUAUGGUUGUCAUGGGAGACUUUAACUACCCAGACGUCUCAUGGGAGGAGCGCUCAGCCAAAUCUGAGUGGUCGCAAAGCUUCCUCUCAUGUGUGGAUGGCCUCUAUCUGACACAGGAAGUCUACAGGCCGAUGAGAGGUAAAGUGCUGCUCGACCUGGUCCUGGAAACUGGGGACGACCUAAUCAGUGACCUAAUGAUUGAAGGGCAGCUGGGCGACAGUGACCACGAGCUGAUAAACUUCACCAUCUGCCGUAAAGCUGGCAAGUCAGUCAGUAAUACAGAAGUCCUCAACUUCAGGAAAGCUGACUUUGACAAGCUCAGGAGGCUUGUCAGUGAGGCCCUAAAGGGCCACAACCCAAAGGGGAGGGAGUUCAGGACGAGUGGUUGCUCCUCAAGGGAGUGAUCCUGGAUGCACAAGCAAAGUCUAUCCCAUCUCAGAGGAAAGGCAGCAAAAGUGCACAGCAGCCCCCUUUGCUCUCCAGGGAACUAGCAGACCUCCUGCAUCUUAAAAGGAAGACCUACAAAGGAUGGAGGACUGGAACCACCACCAAGGAGGAAUACUCUGCUCUGGUCUGGACCUGCAGAGAGCAAACUAGGAAAGCCAAGGCUGCAAUGGAACUCCAGCUAGCUACAAAUAUCAAGGACAAUAAAAAGUCCUUCUUUAGAUAUGUGGGGAGCCGGAGGAAAAGCAAGGGCAACAUUGGACCCCUGCUAAACCUGAUGCGAUAACUAACAACUGAUGCCCAGGAAAAAGCAAACUUGCUAAAUGGGUACUUUGCGUCAGUUUUUCACCAGUUCCAUGGGACGCCCCUGCCCACUGAGGGACAGGGAGGCCCAGAUGAGGGAGAUUCCUUACCAUCCAUCACUGCUGACCUCAUGAAGGAACACCUUGACAGGCUGGAUACCUUCAAGUCAGCCAGCCCUGAUGGUUUACAUCCAAGGGUACUCAAAGAGCUGGCAAGCAUCAUAGCUCAGCCCCUGGUAUGGAUCUUUGAGAGCUCCUGGUGCUCUGGUGAAGUGUCCAAUGAUUGGAAGAAGGCCAAUAUGGUGCCUAUCUUCAAAAAAGGGAGGAAAGUAGAUCCAGCAAACUACAGACCCAUUAGCCUGACCUCUAUCCUGGGGACGGUCUUGGAAAAGAUUAUGAAAGAGGCCAUCCUAUACAGGCUAGCUGAUGGGAAUAUCCUGAGGGAUACCCAGCAUGGGUUUGUUGUAGGUAGGUCUUGCUUGACCAAUCUCGUUUCCUUUUAUGACCAGGUGACCUAUCACCUGGACAAGGGCAAAGAGAUUGAUGUCAUAUAUCUUGACUUUAAAAAAAGCCUUCGAUCUGGUAUCCCAUGAUACCUCUUGGCAAAACUGGCUAACUGCGGCCUUGACCUCACCACGAUCUGCUGGCUGGAGAAUUGGCUCCAUGGCAGGACCCAGAGGGUGGUGGCUGAUGGAAGUCAGUCGUCGUGAUGUGCUGUGAUCAGUGGGAUCCCUCAAGGCUCUUUCCUAGGGCCUUUAUUUUUUAACAUCUUCAGCAAUGAUGUGGACACUGGUGUCAGAAGCGAGCUGGCCAAGUUCGCCAACAACACCAAACUCUGUGGUAAAGCAACCACACCUGAGGACAGGAGGGUGAUCCAGGCUGACUUGACAGGCUCAAGAAAUGGGUGGAUGAGAACCUGAUGGUGUUUAACACUGAAAAAUGCAAGGUUGUCCACCUUGGGAGGAAAAACGUGCAGCAUCCUUAUAGGCUCUGCAGUGCUACACUGGUUAGCACUACAGGUGAAAGGGACUUGGGGGUCAUGAGUGACCACAAGAUGAACAUGAGCCUUCAAUGUGAUGCUGCAGCCAGUAAAGCGAGCAAAACGCUGGCUUGCAUCCAUAGAUGCUUCUCAAGCAAAUCCUGGGACGUCAUUCUCCUGUUGUACUCAGCCUUGGUGGGGCCACAGCUGGAGUACUGCGUCCAGUUUUGGGCUCCACAAUUCAAAAAGGAUGUGGAGAAGCUUGAGAGAGUGCAGAGGAGAGCCAUGCACAUGAUCAGAGGUCAGGAAAACAGACCUUAUGAUGAGAGGCUGAGAGCCAUGGGACUCUUCAGCCUGGAAAAGCGUAGGCUUAGGGAUGAUCUGGUGGCCACCUAUACGUUUAUUAGGGGUGUUCACCAGGAUCUGGGGGAACGCCUGUUCACCAGAGCACCCCAAGAGAUGACAAGAUCAAACAGUCAUAAACUCCUCCAUGACCGUUUCAGGCUGGACAUAAGGAAGAACUUCUUCACUGUCCGAGCCCCCAAGGUUUGAAAUAGACUGCUGCCGGAGGUGGUUCAAGCACCCACUUUGAACGCCUCCAAGAAACUUUUGGAUGUUUAUCUUGCUGGGAUCCUAUGAUCCCUGCUGACUUCCUGCCCCUGGGCAGGGGGCUGGACUUGAUGAUCCUCUGGGGUCCCUUCCAGCCCAAAUGUCUAUGAAAUCUAUGAAAUCUUAACUUCAUUAUUCCUUAUUAUGUCACCACCUGGCAAAGCAUUUAUGAGAUCUCUUACUUCAGAAAUUGUGAAACCAUAACCAUCUUUUAAAAUAGGCCUCACAAUUUCAUUUGCUUUCUCAAAAGCUGUAUCCUUAAGAGAUGGUGAUUUCUGGGUAACAGACUGCUUAAAAGUGUUGUCAUAUUUCUUCAGGUAUAUUUCCAGGCAUACUUUGUGAUAAAGUAAAUCUGCUCCAAACACUUGGGAUUCUGAUUCCAGGUCUGCAACUCAAGGGAAGAUAUCAUCCUGGAGAUGAAGAGCAGCUGCCAAAAAUUUGGAAGCCCUUUGUGUUUCACAGAUGCCGAACUUAUCUCUUAUUUAGUUAUGGCUUUGCUGGCUGCAUAUAACACAAGGUCGAUUUGCCAAUGAUUUAUAUGAGGAUGGAGGGUGCUCUUGGUUGCAUGUAAAGAGCAGGUUUUUCAUUGUAUCUCCUCUUCAGAAGAACAGUUACUGGUAGGUUGACGGUCUCUGUCUUCUGAGCACAAGGUGGCUUUCUGUAGACCUUUUUUUCAAUGUAUAUUGCUUAUAACACUGGUUAUUUACAUGGUACACAAAUUCAGUAUCGGUCAACACUUGUCUCAGUCUUUGACAAAAUCAUUCCUAAUCUCUGCUACUUCCAUGAUUUAUUUUCUUCCAUUUGAAGUUGUAGUCGUUUUUUUGAUCAUAUUUGGCCUGAUAGAUAAUGCACUUGUUUGAAUCAACAUGACAUUCUUCUUAUGACUUCACAGAAAUUGCAGUUCGUCUCACUGUAUUUCAAUCAGACUUCAACCUGAAAAACAGAGGACAAAAACAGUUACUUGUGAGUUUGGCUGCAAACAUAACAAAACGACUCAACAAAAAACAUUAAACCCAUUAAACUACAGUAACAGUAACUAGUCAUUAAAAUAAUACAUAGUAAAUAAAAGAGUACACAAUAAAUUGAGCAGUUCAAUAACUUUUAUUUAUUUAUUUAUUAAAAUAAGACAGUAGAAAACUCACACAUAUGACAAACUCAAUAAUUAUUUUUGUAGGGCAAUAUAAGGUACCAAUUUUUUUCAAUUACAUGGAUGUGGAACUUGGGAACCUACUUUCUUUUGUCACUAUGACAUUGGAAACAUCUUUAUUGGACUACUUGACCUUGAAAACAUUGGGUUAAACACCAAGAUUACUUUGUAUCAUACUUAGAAGAGAAAACACCAGUCACCAAAGAGUGAUUGUUGCCAUGUUCAACAGUGGCAGAUUAAGAUUUAUCAGGGCCCUGGGUGAACAGAAAAUUAUAAACAUGAAUGUAUCAAAAAAUUAAUAAAUAGACCCAUUAAAUGUGGUGCAUUAAUAAAUGAAGCACAACACAUGAUGUCGAAAUUGACUACUCAAUUUUGCCACACACAAAACUGAAUAAAACAACUGCCUUAGGAAAAUGACUCAAAUGCAUGGGAUCACAAUAAAUAUAUAAUAGCAUGAAAGGAAAGAUAUUUUAGUCUAGUAGCCAUGUAAACUCUUCUUUGACUAUUUUUUUAAAUAGAUAUUUUACUACGGUAAACUGCUUGUAGAAAAAUACAGGCCAUACCUAUAGCCUCAAGUAUGAGUCUAAGAUUGUCUGUAGAUGACACAGGCAGUAAUGUAGAGUGCCUGAAAAUUUUAACGUGGCAUUUUUUUUGUGGGGUGCGUUUGUGUUUGCAUGACACAGCAUUCGUGUUUGCAUGAAUGGCACUUUUGAGUGAAUUUAGCCUCAUGUGCUAUUCCCUGAAGAUUUCAGUAGGGGGAGUCAAAUACCAAUUCACCCCCUGUAAUGUCUUCCCUAAUGUAUUACAGCAGGAGGCGCAUGUAAACCACCUGGCCUCCCCAGUCCCUGCUUCCGGACUCUCACUGGACAGUCCUGACUCUCACUGGGAGUCUCCCCUGGCACGGUCAUGGUCACCCCAAAACCUUGUCACUUUCACUCACCUAUCCUUGGUUGGUAUGGUCUCUCUCUGUCAGUACAUGACACUUACAGGUAAUGACUUCACAAUCUUUGGAAUUUUCCCAGACCCUCAUCAAGCACAGCCUGAGUAUAAAGGUCCCCCCCCCCCACCCCACCCCCCAAAUUUUUCCAGCCCCCUUUCACAAAUCACUUGUGCUGUUGACCACAAACUGCUUCACCAUGUCUCAGAAAGCCAAGGCCAGCAGUAUGAAGCUGAUGGCCCAGGAAGCUGAUACCUCCAAUGCCCAUGGACCCAACUGGACCCUGGAAGAACUGGAGGACUUCAUCUAUAUUUGGUCGGAGGAAAGGAUCAUAGACAGGUUGGAAAGUAGGAGGAAUAAGCCUAUUUCAUUUGAGUCACAAAAGACAUGCAGGCGCAUGGGCACAAUCAUGACUGGACCCAGGUCUGGUGCAAGACCAAGUCCCUGAGAUCAGCAUUUUACAGAGCCAAAGAUGCAAACUCUCCUUCUGAGGCAGGUCACACAACUGCUCCCUUCUACAACAAGCUGUUCAUCAUUCUCUCCAAGGAUGCAGGCGACAACCCAGGUAUGGAGACUUUCAGUGUAGCAGAAAGUCCCCUUUUCCUCUUGCCUGCAUUUGCUCUCCCCUCUUUAAAUAUGUUUUUCCUCUUCUACCUUUUAUUCCUUCCUCUUUCUUUCACUUUAAGAUAAGGAAUUGUGUUUUAAAAUGUGUAUGUGAACAUUUUGUAUUUCCCUGUAUAUUUUGGUAUUUUUAUCUA